ACUGAAAUUGAACCAAUCAUAUUUUCAGAAAUACGUUUUUAGUCACAAAAUUCAGAUUUUCAUUUCAGAAUCUUAGUUUUCUAAUCGCGAGUCAAUCAAACCUUAGCAUUCAAAGCGGAUAUGGAAAAAGCAUGUGACCGGGUGGAAUGGAGUUUUCUCUUCGGAGUUUUGGAGAAAUUGAGUUUCCAUCUUGGAUUUCCCUCAUUCAGAUAUGUAUCUCCUCGGUCAGGUACUCAUGUGAAUGGAAACAUCAUUGGAAUAUAAUACCAUCUACAGGAUUAAGGCAAGGGGACCCACUCUCCCCCUUUUUGUUCCUCAUUUGUGCUGAAGGGCUUUCUUCUCUCAUGAAGAAUGAGAUCUCUUCAGGAACCAUUUCCGGUCUUCAGUGUGGCAGGAGAGAACCCAGUAUUUCUCAUUUGUUUUUUGUUGAUGACAGUUUUUUCUUCCUGAAGCUAAUGCAGAUGUUUGUGCUUAUUUUAAGGAAAUCAUGUUUUGGUAUGAGUGUGCCUCGGGUCAAUUAUUCAAUCUAGCAAAAUCAGCAGUGUGUUUUUCUCCUAAAUUGACUAUGGGGCAGUGUGAGGAGAUGGCGUAGGUGUUGGGAGUACCACUAGUUCCGUGUCAUGAGAAGUAUUUGGGAUUGUCUUGCUUUGUAGGAAGAAGUAAGAGUGGUCUCUUCCAAUUUAUUCUGAUAGAAUUUGGCACAAGUUGUUUGGGUGGAAUUCAAAAUUGAUCUCCGCAGGUGGAAGGGAAGUGCUCUUAAAAUCGGUAUGGUCCUAAAAGGCUUGUAUUUUCCACAGACUAAUUUCAUACAAGCCAAACUGACCUACAAAGCAUCUUAUCCAUGGAGAAGUAUUCUAUGGGGGAGAGAAUUGUAUUUGGCAGGGGCUAGGUAGAUUGUGAGAGAUGGGAGCUCGGUUGAUAUUAAGGCAGAUUGCUGGCUUCCAAAGAAGAAGGUGGGAAAGGUCAUCACUUUCUGAGGGUCGUUUGAUAUGGUCAAGGUAAAAGCACUGAAACUAACCUCGGGCGAGUGGAACUCAGACUUGGUGUUAGAAAGUUUCGAUCGGGACGAAGCACCAAAGGUUUUAUCAAUCCCCUCUUAGUCCGGCUCCGGAUUAUUUGAUAUGGAAUUAUAAUGACACAGGGCUAUAUUCAGUCAAGAGUGUGUAUUGGAAAGCAAUUCGAAUGUUGGGGCUUAGGCAAGCGUCUUCAUCAUCAGGCCAAUCACCUUGGUGGAGUUUUAUGUGGUCACUCACCUUGCCAUCUAAGGUAAAGAUGUUCAUUUGGAAAGCCUCGUUGAAUUUCUUGCCAACUAAAGUAAAUCUUACCAGACAUGGAGUAUCUACAAUAAAAGAAUUCCCACUUUGUCAAAAUGAUUGUGAAACCACCUUGCACGAGUUGUGGGGUUGUCCGACUUUGGAAUCUCUGCGAUAAGAUUGGACAGAUAAAGGUGUGGGAAAACUAUCACAUAGUUCAGGUUUUUAUGAGUUUUUACUGGACAGUAUGGACAUUAUUCCUUGUUUUGAGAUGGAGAGGCUAUUUAUGAUGUUCUAGAGAAUAUGGUUCAUGCAAAAUAAGAUGGUGCAUAACAAUCAUUGGAUAAAUAAUUACAUAGUGGCAGAUGGGGCGUGGUCACUACUGGAAAAAUACCAAGAUGCUCAGAAGCUGGAACUUGAUAGACUGACACCAUCAUUGGGUAACAUAAGUGAAGAUUGUGGGGAUGCCCAAAUAGAUACCAGCUCUAUUACUGUUUUUGUAGAUGCUGGUGUGGAUAUAAAAAAUAUGAAAAAUAGUUUUGGUGCUGCUAUUUAUGGCCAUACUGGGCUGUGCUUGGGAUCUCAUGCAAUUGUGAUUGUUUAUACUAUGGAACCUCAUGUUGCAGAGGCUUCAACAAUCUUAACGGGAAUGCUACUAUGUCUAAGAUUGGGGUACACUAAGAUUCAUAUGAAGUCAGAUUGCUUGAGAGUUUGCCAUACUCUGCAAAAUAGGUGCCCCAACAGUUCUAAGUUUGGGAUGGUCAUUAGUGAUAUCAAUUGUCUAAGGUCGAAAUUUCAUGUAAUCUCUUUUGACCGCUGUAACCAAUUGAAUAAUGCCAUGGCCCAUGCUCUGGCCAAACUUGCACUA